GGUCUCGUGGUCUAGUGGUAUGAUUCUCGCUUAGGGCUACACCCUGAGUUCAAUAUGCGAGAGGCCCCGGAUUCGAAUUCCGGCGAGACCC